rnacentral:rRNA from 1 species
AUUGAACGCUGGCGGCAGGCCUAACACAUGCAAGUCGAACGGUAACAGGAGGACGCUUGCUUCUUUGCUGACGAGUGGCGGACGGGUGAGUAAUGUCUUGGAAACUGCCUGAUGGAGGGGGAUAACUACUGGAAACGGUAGCUAAUACCGCAUAACGUCGCAAGACCAAAGAGGGGGACCUUCGGGCCUCUUGCCAUCGGAUGUGCCCAGAUGGGAUUAGCUAGUAGGUGGGGUAACGGCUCACCUAGGCGACGAUCCCUAGCUGGUCUGAGAGGAUGACCAGCCACACUGGAACUGAGACACGGUCCAGACUCCUACGGGAGGCAGCAGUGGGGAAUAUUGCACAAAGGGCGCAAGCCUGAUGCAGCCAUGCCGCGUGUAUGAAGAAGGACUUCGGGUUGUAAAGUACUUUCAGCGGGGAGGAAGGGAGUAAAGUUAAUACCUUUGCUCAUUGACGUUACCCGCAGAAGAAGCACCGGCUAACUCCGUG